rnacentral:rRNA from 1 species
AGCAGCCGCGGUAAUUCCAGCUCCAAUAGCGUAUAUUAAAGUUGCUGCAGUUAAAAAGCUCGUAGUUGAAUUUCGGGACUAAUAUGUCGGUCGUGCCUCGGUACGUACUGGUAUUUUUGGUUUCUCCCUUCUGACGAACCUUGAUGUCAUUAAUUUGGUGUCUUGGGAAAUCAGGACUGUUACUUUGAAAAAAUUAGAGUGUUUAAAGCAGGCUCACGCUUGAAUACAUUAGCAUGGAAUAAUGAAAUAGGACGUUUGAUUCUAUUUUGUUGGUUUCUAGGAUCGACGUAAUGAUUAAUAGGGAUAGUUGGGGGCAUUAGUAUUCAAUUGUCAGAGGUGAAAUUCUUGGAUUUAUUGAAGACUAACUACUGCGAAAGCAUUUGCCAAGGAUGUUUUCAUUAAUCAAGAACGAAAGUUAGGGGAUCGAAGACGAU